rnacentral:rRNA from 1 species
CUUAGUACGGCGAGUGAAGCGGCAAAAGCUCAAAUUUGAAAUCUGGUACCUUCGGUGCCCGAGUUGUAAUUUGGAGAGGGCAACUUUGGGGCCGUUCCUUGUCUAUGUUCCUUGGAACAGGACGUCAUAGAGGGUGAGAAUCCCGUGUGGCGAGGAGUGCGGUUCUUUGUAAAGUGCCUUCGAAGAGUCGAGUUGUUUGGGAAUGCAGCUCUAAGUGGGUGGUAAAUUCCAUCUAAAGCUAAAUAUUGGCGAGAGACCGAUAGCGAACAAGUACAGUGAUGGAAAGAUGAAAAGAACUUUGAAAAGAGAGUGAAAAAGUACGUGAAAUUGUUGAAAGGGAAGGGCAUUUGAUCAGACAUGGUGUUUUGUGCCCUCUGCUCCUUGUGGGUAGGGGAAUCUCGCAUUUCACUGGGCCAGCAUCAGUUUUGGUGGCAGGAUAAAUCCAUAGGAAUGUAGCUUGCCUCGGUAAGUAUUAUAGCCUGUGGGAAUACUGCCAGCUGGGACUGAGGACUGCGACGUAAGUCAAGGAUGCUGGCAUAAUGGUUAUAUGCCGCCCGUCUUGAAACACGGACCCA